rnacentral:lncRNA from 1 species
GGAUUUAUCUGGUGGAGAAAAAUCCUGAAAUUUUUUUGGGGAAAAAAAAAUCCCUGAAAUUUGGGAUUUAUUUGGGGGAAAAUCCGAAAGUUUUGGAUUUACGAGAAGGGAAAAAAUGGUAAAAAUUUGGUGGGAAAUCCCAGAAAUUUGAGCUUCAGCUGUGCCCAAAAUUUGGGAUUUUUUUUUUUUUUUUGGAUGGGGAAAAAUGUGAAAAAACUGGGGGGAAAAAAAUCCUAAAAAAAGGGGGAGGAAAAAAUCCCCAAAAUUUGGGGAAAAUCCCCAAAUUGUCCCGAAUUUGUCCCAAAUUGGAGGGAGGGGACAGAGCCCUUCAGCCCUGGGCGAGGACAGGUGACAGCGGGAGGUGCCACCAGGUGUGCCCAGGUGUCACCUCAGGUGUGCCCAGGUGCCACCAGGUGUGCCCAGGUGCCACCAGGUGUGCCCAGGUGCCACCAGGUGUGUCCAGGUGUCACCUCAAGUGUGUCCAGGUGCCACCAGGUGUGCCCAGGUGCCACCUCAGGUGUGUCACACCUGGCCCACAGGCACGGGGAGGUGACAGGUGCCACCAGGUGCCACCGACACACAGCGAAACCAACGGUGCCACCUCCUGUCCUGUCCUGGUGCCGUCCCCAGGUGCCUCCAGGUGUGCCCAGGUGCCACCAGCUCUCCCCAGGUGUCUCCAGGUGUGUCCCAGCUGUUCCCAGGUGCCACCAGGUGUGCCCAGGUGCCUCCAGGGUGUCCUCAGGGUGUCUCCAGGUGCUACCAGGUUUCUCUCGGGUGAUCCCAGGUAUGCCCAGAUGUCUCCAGGUGCCACCAGGUGUGCCCAGGUGCCUCCAGGGUGUCCUCAGGGUGUCCCCAGGUGCCACCAGGUGUGCCCAGGUGUCACCAGGUGUCCUCAGGAUGUCCUCAAGGUGUCCCAGGUGUCCCCAGGAUGUCCUCAGGGGAUUCUCAGGUGUGCCCACAUAUCUCCAGGUGUGCCCAGCUGUCUCCAGGAUGUCCUCAAGGUGUUCCCAGGUGUCCCCAGGUGUGCCCAGGUGUCCUCAGGAUGUCCUCAAGGUGUUCCCAGGUGUCUCUAGGAUGUCCCCAGGCAUGCACCAGGUGUCCCCAGGUGUACUCAGGUGCCCUCAGGAUGUCCUCAAGGUGUUCCCAGGUGU